UACGUAGGGCGCAAGCGUUAUCCGGAAUUAUUGGGCGUAAAGAGCUCGUAGGCGGUUUGUCGCGUCUGACGUGAAAGCCCCGGGCUCAACCCGGGAGGGUCGUCGUGAACCGGGGGGCUUGAGGCCGGUAGAGGUGGGUGGAACUCCUGGUGGAGUGGUGAAAUGCGUAGAGAUCAGGAAGAACACCCGUGGCGAAGGCGGCCCACUGGGCCGGUACUGACGCUGAGGCACGAAGGCGUGGGGAGCGAACGGG
rnacentral:rRNA from 1 species